GAAACAUUGUGGCUAGCUGUGUCGAUGAGCCUGCAUCAUGAUGAAGUCAUGACUCACCUCUGCUAUUUUGGUCGUCGUUAGUAUCCAAGGUUUUUUCUCCAACUUUUCAACUGCUACACUAACUCUAUUGUUGUCAUAGUUAUUCAAGUUAUUCUAUUUCAAAGUACGCGAUAACUUGGAAUUGUUUUAGUAUUUUUAAUGUU
rnacentral:misc_RNA from 1 species